CGCCCUGCGGAAGCCCCUUGGGAAGCCGCCGGGGGCGGUGACAUUUCGGGGACAGUACACAGGGACACGGUACCAGGCGGGCACAGCACGGGCCACCCCCGCACCCCGAGAGGAGCCGGGCACCUCGGGGUGUCCCCGAUGUCACAGGGACAGGGUGGCAUCAGCUGGCCUUGGGGGAGGUGAUGCCCCCCGGCAGCCCCAGCACAGCACCCCCAGGAGAACGUCCUGCCCCACCUGCCGGGCACCCACGGGCCCCCCUGCGCCGGGCAGCAGGGGCAGAGCCACGCGCGCAGAGCGUGGCCCUGGUGGCUCCUGUCCCCCAGGGGCCGAGAAGCCGGAGCCGCCCGGAAUCUGGUACUUGGCAGCCACCCCUGCUGCCGCCACUGCCACCGUCUGCCUGGCACCCGUCCCCCUCGUGCCUUACGUGCCCUCCAU